rnacentral:rRNA from 1 species
AUCGAACGCUGGCGGCAGGCCUAACACAUGCAAGUAGAACGAGUGGCGGACGGGUGAGUAAUGUUGGGGAAACUGCCUGAUGGCGGGGGAUAACUACUGGAAACGGAAGUUAAUACCGCAUACCAUCAGAGGGGCCCAGAUGGGCUUAGAUAGUAGGUGGGGUAAAGGUUCACCUAGGCCACGAUCCCUAGCUGGUCUGAGAGGAUGACCAGCCACACUGGAACUGAGACACGGGCCAGACUCCUACGGGAGGCAGCAGUGGGGAAUAUUGGGCAAUGGGCGAAAGCCUGAUGGAGCGAUGCCGCGUGGAUGAAGAAGGCUUUCGGGUGGUAAAGUACUUUCAGCGGGGAGGCGUUAGCCGCAGAAGAAGCACCGGCUAACUCCGUGCCAGCAGCCGCGGUAAUUC